rnacentral:rRNA from 1 species
AUUGAACGCUGGCGGCAGGCCUAACACAUGCAAGUCGAACGAUUGGCGGACGGGUGAGUAAUGUCUGGGAAACUGCCUGAUGGAGGGGGAUAACUACUGGAAACGGUAGCUAAUACCGCAUACCAUCGGAUGUGCCCAGAUGGGAUUAGCUAUUAGGUGGGGUAACGGCUCACCUAGGCGACGAUCCCUAGCUGGUCUGAGAGGAUGACCAGCCACGAUGGAACUGAGAAACGGUCCAGACUCCUACGGGAGGCAGCAGUGGUGAAUAUUGCACAAUGGGCGCAAGCCUGAUGGAGCAAGGCCGCGUGUAUGAAGAAGGCCUUCGGGUUGUAAAGUACUUUCAGCGGGGAGGCGUUACCCGCAGAAGAAGCAACGGCUAACUCCGUGCCAGCAGCCGCGGUAAUUC